AGUGAGCGCUGGCGGCGUGCUUAACACAUGCAAGUCGAACGAGAACGGAUUAUAGCUUGCUAUAAUUGCCAGCUAAGUGGCGCACGGGUGAGUAAUGUAUAGGUAAUAUGCCUCUUACUAAGGGAUAACAAAUGGAAACGUUUGCUAAUACCUUAUACUCCUUAUUAACAGAAGUUAAUAAGGGAAAGAUUUAUUGGUAAGAGAUUAGCCUGUAUUGUAUCAGUUAGUUGGUGGGGUAAUGGCUUACCAAGACUAUGACACAUAACUGGUUUGAGAGGAUGAUCAGUCACACUGGAACUGAGACACGGUCCAGACUCCUACGGGAGGCAGCAGUGGGGAAUAUUGCACAAUGGACGAAAGUCUGAUGCAGCAACGCCGCGUGGAGGAUGACACAUUUCGGUGCGUAAACUCCUUUUAUAUGAGAAGAUAAUGACGGUAUUAUAUGAAUAAGCACCGGCUAACUCCGUGCCAGCAGCCGCAGUAAUAC
rnacentral:rRNA from 1 species